rnacentral:ncRNA from 1 species
ACACAGGGGAUGAGGUCCCCCUCGGCCGUGAGGCCGGAACCGCUGUUUGGCUGAUGACUUCUGCGC